AAUAGAGGAGAGAGAAACAAACACAGGGAAGAUUUGAUUCAGACAGUUAAGGGGGGAUCUCCUUCCUGCACAAAGAGUGCGAAGGGAGGGGAAAAGAAAACGAAUAUAUAGAGAUAUUAAGAAAUAUGUGCUGUCUCCCGAUGGACCAGACUUUGCCUCCGGCGGGCCACUCCAUCAGCGCCCAGGGACUGGAGUCCUGCACCGGGGCGCAGCUCGCCUCUCGCUUGAGGUGGAUCGGAGACCAACUGGAGAAAAGCAGGGCGACCGGCGGCAGGAGGAGCAGCAAGGACUCGCCGGGAAACAACAGAGUCCCGGUUCGGAGACUGUUCGCCGCCUGCGCGGCCGUGCAAAUAGCGGCCCUCUUGCUGCUUGUCAGAAAGCGACACCUGUAGGCGCAGUGUCCUUCUGCAUGAGACCAGCAACAGAUGGUGCCUUCAGGAUCCCAAUGGAGGAGCUAGAUGGGCAUCGGACAGCCCGAUAUUUGCACUGGGGGAGACUUGUGCCAGCGGGAAGCGAGUUUGCAGCGGCUUCGCCUGCGCAGGGGGAGCGCAAUCCUGCGCAGACCAAGCGAGACGCUUCCCAUGCAUCCAAAGCGCUUCAUUCCGCUGGGGAGGUACUACUUCCAAGCUUAUACUACAUUUGUAUAAACCUAUAUAGGACAAUCUCUCUGUUUCUCGUAUGAGUAUUUCUUUUAGAAGUUGCAGAGCUUCUUCUUGAUAAAGAGUUGGGUGUGCAUUAUGAAUGCAGUUUAUAACGCACUGGACACGCGUCGUUUCUCCGUUACUUGAUCACUACCUUGAUUUACUUAUUUAUUUGCUGUUGUACUACAACUAAAUGUGUUUCAAGUUACUGGUGGUUUAAGCUUGUGGGUUUCGACCCAACGCUGUUUAUACAUGACUUGAAACCACCCGUAAUGCCGGGAAUAGUAAGUUGAUGUCAUGGUCCCUUGGUACUUCGGUAAGGGGAAAAACUCACUAAUAUCACUUUAGGAUUAAGUCUUAUAUAACUGACCUCUGAAAAGGAUUUUACAUCCAGUAUACUGUUUUUUUUUUUU